UACGAAGGGGGCUAGCGUUGCUCGGAAUCACUGGGCGUAAAGGGUGCGUAGGCGGGGCUUUAAGUCCGGGGUGAAAUCCUGGAGCUCAACUCCAGAACUGCCUUUGAUACUGAAGAUCUUGAGUUCGGGAGAGGUGAGUGGAACUGCGAGUGUAGAGGUGAAAUUCGUAGAUAUCGGGAGGAACACCGGUGGCGAAGGCGGCGGCCUGGGUUGACACUGACGCUGAGGCGCGAAAGCCAGGGGAGCAAACGGG
rnacentral:rRNA from 1 species